rnacentral:rRNA from 1 species
CUACGGGUCGCUCCAGUGGGGAAUAUUGCACAAUGGGCGCAAGCCUGAUGCAGCCAUGCCGCGUGUAUGAAGAAGGCCUUCGGGUUGUAAAGUACUUUCAGCGGGGAGGAAGGGAGUAAAGUUAAUACCUUUGCUCAUUGACGUUACCCGCAGAAGAAGCUCCGGCUAACUCCGUGCCAGCAGCCGCGGUAAUACGGAGGGUGCAAGCGGUAAUCGGAAUUACUGGGCGUAAAGCGCACGCAGGCGGUUUGUUAAGUCAAAUGUGAAAUCCCCGGGCUCAAUCUGGGAACUGCAUCUGAUACUGGCAAGCUUGAGUCUCGUAGAGGGGGGUAGAAUUCCAGGUGUAGCGGUGAGAUGCGUAGAGAUCUGGAGGAAUACCGGUGGCGAAGGCGGCCCCCUGGACGAAGACUGACGCUCAGGUGCGAAAGCGUGGGGAGCAAACAGGAUUAGAUACCCCGGUAGUC